rnacentral:rRNA from 1 species
GAGUUUGAUCUUGGCUCAGAUUGAACGCUGGCGGCAGGCUUAACACAUGCAAGUCGAGCGGGGGAGGUUGCUUCGGUAACUGACCUAGCGGCGGACGGGUGAGUAAUACUUAGGAAUCUGCCUAUUAAUCGGGGACAACAUCUCGAAAGGGAUGCUAAUACCGCAUACGCCCUACGGGGAAAGCAGGGGAUCACUUGUGACCUUGCGUUAAUAGAUGAGCCUAAGUCGGAUUAGCUAGUUGGU